rnacentral:lncRNA from 1 species
CAGUAACUUCCUUGUGUUGUGUGUAUUCAACUCACAGAGUUGAACCAUCUUUUACACAGAGCAGAUAUGAAACACUCUUUUUGUGGAAUUUGCAAGUGGAGAUUUCAGCCACCUUGAGGUCAAUGGUAGAAAAGGAAAUAUCUUCGUAUAAAACCUAGACAGAAUGAUUCUCAGAAACUCCUUCGUGAUGUGUGCUUUCAACUCACUGAGUUUAACCUUUCUUUUCAUACAGCAUUCUGGAAACACUCUGUUUGUAAAGUCUGCAAGUGGAUAUCUGGACCUCUUAGAUGCCUUCGUUGGAAACGGGUUUUUUCAUGUAAGGUUAGACAGAGGAAUUCCCAGUAACUUCCUUGUGUUGUGUGCAUUCAACUCACAGAGUUGAAUGAUUCUUUACACAGAGCAGAUUUGAGACACUCUUUUGGUGGAAUUUGUAAGUGGAGAAUUCAGCCGCUUUGAGGUCAAUGGUAGAAAAGGAAAUAUCUUCGUAUAAAAACUAGACAGAAUGAUUCUCAGAAACUCCUUUGUGAUGUGUGCGUUCAACUCACAGAGUUUAACCUUUCUUUUCAUAGAGCAGUUAGGAAACACUCUGUUUGUGAAGUCUGCCAGUGGAUAUUCGGACCUUUUUGAGGCCUUCGUUGGAAAUGGGAUUUCUUCAUAUUAUGCUAGACAGAAGAUUUCUCAGUAACUACUUUGUGUUGUCUGUAUGCAACUCACAGAGUUCAACCUUCCUUUAGACAGAGCAGAUUUGAAACACUCUUUUUGUGGAAUUUGCAAGUGGAGAUUUCAAGCGCUUCGAUGCCAAUGGUAGAAAAGGAAAUAUCUUCGUAUAAAAACAAGACAAA